CUAAACAAAACCAUCACAGCGAAGUGGUGUCUCCACAUACUCCGAAUGGGGCACCACCCCUGGCAGCCCGGCGCAGGGGGUUUUCUCGAAACGCCCUGGACAGGCCCUGGCUCCAGCGGAAAGGCACAGCGAGAAGGGGGUGUGUGCACCGAAGGCUGGAGGGGAGCCGACCCCUCAGGAAGUGAGGAGAGGCUGGUGCCCCCGCACCUGGAGUCACCACCAGCUGCGAGAUGAAAACCAAGGCAGGAGGUUCCUCAAAAGGAACAGCCACAAGGUGUCUGCCCCCUUCUCACCAUUUCUCAUUGCUCAAUCUCUCAUUCUUUCCGUUCUCUCUCCCUCCAUCCCUCCCCUCCCUCUUUGUCUGCCGCCUUCUCACCUCCGCCUCUUGGAACACCCUGCCUUCUGGAGCCCGGCUCGGACGCCGCAGCGGUCAGCUCCCCGGGGACUCCGGCCCCGCGCCCCUGCCCAGGCCCCUCCCCUGCCCGGCCCUGUCGACUCCGGCUCUUACCCAGAAGAGCAGGUUGAAGCCGAGCAGCAGACAUGAUGCCUGGAGCUGUAGAACAUUUUGUGACUAUGAGGAAAGGCCAAAAGAAUUGCAGACCUGCCCACCAGGAGAUUGUUGAACUACUGAACCAACGCCAGCAGCCACCUACCUCCAGAUUUCUUGUAACGUAAGAAAAAUAACUCUCAUUUUGUUUGACUUUUGUAUUCUGUUGCUAUAGCUUAUGAUAUUUCUGACACAGGGAGACAAUAAAUUCAUAUUUGGA